GGACUUGGUCUUCUGUCGAUGUGUC
rnacentral:piRNA from 1 species